UACAGAGGGUGCAAGCGUUGUUCGGAAUUAUUGGGCGUAAAGGGCUCGUAGGCGGCUUGUCACGUCAGGAGUGAAAACUCGGGGCUCAACCCCGAGCCUGCUUCUGAUACGGGCAGACUGGAGGUAUGCAGGGGAGAACGGAAUUCCUGGUGUAGCGGUGAAAUGCGCAGAUAUCAGGAGGAACACCGGUGGCGAAGGCGGAUCUCUGGGCCAUUACUGACGCUGAGGAGCGAAAGCGUGGGGAGCGAACAGG
rnacentral:rRNA from 1 species